GACGAACGCUGGCGGCGUGCUUAACACAUGCAAGUCGAACGGAAAGGCCCUGCUUUUGUGGGGUGCUCGAGUGGCGAACGGGUGAGUAACACGUGAGUAACCUGCCCUUGACUUUGGGAUAACUUCAGGAAACUGGGGCUAAUACCGGAUAGGAGCUCCUGCUGCAUGGUGGGGGUUGGAAAGUUUCGGCGGUUGGGGAUGGACUCGCGGCUUAUCAGCUUGUUGGUGGGGUAGUGGCUUACCAAGGCUUUGACGGGUAGCCGGCCUGAGAGGGUGACCGGCCACAUUGGGACUGAGAUACGGCCCAGACUCCUACGGGAGGCAGCAGUGGGGAAUAUUGCACAAUGGGCGGAAGCCUGAUGCAGCAACGCCGCGUGCGGGAUGACGGCCUUCGGGUUGUAAACCGCUUUCGCCUGUGACGAAGCGUGAGUGACGGUAAUGGGUAAAGAAGCACCGGCUAACUACGUGCCAGCAGCCGCGGUGAUACGUAGGGUGCGAGCGUUGUCCGGAUUUAUUGGGCGUAAAGGGCUCGUAGGUGGUUGAUCGCGUCGGAAGUGUAAUCUUGGGGCUUAACCCUGAGCGUGCUUUCGAUACGGGUUGACUUGAGGAAGGUAGGGGAGAAUGGAAUUCCUGGUGGAGCGGUGGAAUGCGCAGAUAUCAGGAGGGACACCAGUGGCGAAGGCGGUUCUCUGGGCCUUUCCUGACGCUGAGGAGCGAAAGCGUGGGGAGCGAACAGGCUUAGAUACCCUGGUAGUCCACGCUGUAAACGGUGGGUACUAGGUGUGGGGUCCAUUCCACGGGUUCCGUGCCGUAGCUAACGCUUUAAGUACCCCGCCUGGGGAGUACGGCCGCAAGGCUAAAACUCAAAGGAAUUGACGGGGCCCCGCACAAGCGGCGGAGCAUGCGGAUUAAUUCGAUGCAACGCGUAGAACCUUACCUGGGUUUGACAUGGAUCGGGAGUGCUCAGAGAUGGGUGUGCCUCUUUUGGGGUCGGUUCACAGGUGGUGCAUGGCUGUCGUCAGCUCGUGUCGUGAGAUGUUGGGUUAAGUCCCGCAACGAGCGCAACCCUUGUUCACUGUUGCCAGCACGUUAUGGUGGGGACUCAGUGGAGACCGCCGGGGUCAACUCGGAGGAAGGUGGGGAUGACGUCAAGUCAUCAUGCCCCUUAUGUCCAGGGCUUCACGCAUGCUACAAUGGCUGGUACAGAGAGUGGCGAGCCUGUGAGGGUGAGCGAAUCUCGGAAAGCCGGUCUCAGUUCGGAUUGGGGUCUGCAACUCGACCUCGUGAAGUCGGAGUCGCUAGUAAUCGCAGAUCAGCAACGCUGCGGUGAAUACGUUCCCGGGGCU
rnacentral:rRNA from 1 species